rnacentral:lncRNA from 1 species
UUUCCUUUUUUCUUAUUGGUGUUUGUGGUGGUGCACCCGUUGCUCAGGUUCCAAAUGCUAUUACCCGACCCACUCAAGGAGUGGGUCGAGGGUAUCAAUUCUCAAAUGCCUCUUUGAGAGCUUGAGGAAAAAACUCUUAAAAGGACAAUGGGAGUCAUAUUCCCAUAGUAGGAUCACUUUUCCAAUCAGGUUGUAUUAGGCCUUUUCUUUUACUAUCAAGCUCUUAUUCUUUUUAUUUUCUUUCUCAGGUUUUCCUAUGGAUAUUGAGCUUAGGCCUCUUGUUGGUAAUGAGGACUUUCCCAUUAAGUCUCCUGAUCCAGGAUAGGCGGAGAGAAGAAGAGGAGGAGGGCUCUGA